rnacentral:rRNA from 1 species
UACGUAGGUGGCAAGCGUUGUCCGGAUUUACUGGGCGUAAAGGAUGCGUAGGCGGAUAUUUAAGUCAGAUGUGAAAACCCCGGGCUCAACUUGGGGACUGCAUUUGAAACUGGAUAUCUAGAGUGCGGGAGAGGGAUGCAGAAUUCCAGGUGUAGCGGUGAAAUGCGUAGAUAUCUGGAGGAAUACCGGUGGCGAAGGCGGCAUCCUGGACCGACAUUGACGCUGAUGAGCGAAAGCUAGGGGAGCAAACGGG